rnacentral:rRNA from 1 species
UGGGGAAUCUUCCUCAAUGGACGAAAGUCUGACGGAGCAACGCCGCGUGAGUGAAGAAGGCCUUCGGGUCGUAAAGCUCUGUUAUUAGGGACGAACGUACCUUAUGUGAAUAAUGUAGGGUAGUGACGGUGCCUAAGGAGGAAGCCACGGCUAACUACGUGCCAGCAGCCGCGGUAAUACGUAGGUGGCAAGCGUUGUCCGGAAUUAUCGGGCGUAAAGCGCGCGCAGGUGGGAUGUUAAGUCAUUUGUAAAAGUGCGGGGCUCAACCCCGUAAAGCGAUUGAUACUGGCAUUCUUGAGUGCAGGAGAGGAAAGCGGAAUUCCCAGUGUAGCGGUGAAAUACGUAGAUAUUGGGAGGAACACCAGUGGUGAAGGCGGCUUUCUGGACUGUGUCUGACACU